CUUUCUCCAGCACAGCGUUGACCUCAGCAAGGGCUGUGUCAUAAUCCGUUUUUCAGACUGGCCACAACUUCCAGUGCGAGGCAGAGCUGACAAAGGCAGAAGGGCAAAUCCUGGAGCCCAGCUGGCCGAGGCUGAGGGCGGCCAGGUAGGGAUGAAUGGGGCCAGCGCCCUCCCCCUGCUCCAAGGACGUGGCAAAGUCGGUGCCUGGCCCCGGGUGAGAGUGGCCUUGAAGGGAACGCUGCAACUAUUCAUGAAUUAACUUUCUGUUAUUAUUUGGUGCUCGGGGAGCUCCUGGCUCUGCAGACCCAGCAGGAACCCCCGGCCCUGCCGGGGCAGAGGGGAGGAGGAGGUGAGCACCCAAACUGCAGCCGUGGAGCUGGGGGAUUACAGCUGGGAAAGAAUUGCUGGUUUGAAUUGCUAAUAAUGAUACAGACUAAUGAGCAACAUCAGAAAUGAUGGCAUGUGCAAUCAGUGCUGCUUGAUGGCAAACACAGAGCGGGGCUGCAGGAGCUGCUGGGGUGAGGGAACAGGAGCAUCCUUCAGAGGGGCAGCACCCACCCCAGGCAGGGCACUGCCACGGAGCUGGCUCUGCCUCCGGGGGAAAAACUUUAUAAAUAAUGAUGGAAAGAGUAACCACAGACAGACAUCAGCUCUGGGUACACGGAGGGAACAUGGCCAGCGAGUGUUGGAGGGGAAAUCACCUUGGUGGGUUCCCAGCAGCCGCGGGAAGCCCAUCUGCCCCUGGCUGUUGGAGGUUUUGUCUCAGAGCUGCACCCCAGCAGCCCCACGGGGAUCAGGCACACGGGGGACGGAGCGCCCAGCCAAAUCCUCCUCUCAGAGCCCAGCACCGGCUGCUGAUGCUCGGCAGAGAAAGAACCACCCGCGUUCUUGGCCAGGGGUGUGGUGAAGGGCAGGGAUGUGUCUGUGCCCCGUCCCUGCCUGAUCCACCAGCAGGGAACUGCCCGGGGCCGCCCCACUGCUCUGCCGGCUCCAAAGGCAGCGCUGGCUCCUGCUCCUUUUGCUGGAAUCCCUUUCCUUGCCUCAUCCCUGCGAUAUGCCCCAGCCAGUCAGCACGAGGCAACAGUUGGAAAUGCUUCCCACUUUCCUUAUUUAGGCUGUUUUAUGUGGUUCAAAUAAGGUGUCCUCUUUGGGCCUGACAGAGAGAAAGAUGUAUCAGUUCAUGAACUGCUGCUGCCUGAGCAAGCCAGCCAAACUCUGCCCUCCUCAUCGCCUGUUCCCGACUGAGUCCGGGUAGAGCAGAGCUCUCUCAUCCAGCUGGGAUCCGGAGCUGGACGUGCUCUGCACCUUACCCAGGCUGGGGAGGAAUCGCACCAAACCGUGCUCGUCCCUGGGCAUUCAGUUUUAUUGCGAGCAUUAGCGGUUUGUCUCCUCUGGCAACAGGAGAAGCUGGAAAUGUCAAAGGGGAGGGUUAACAAACUCCGCUGGCAUAAAUUUCAAUGAAUGUAUGUUUCUUAGGAAAACCGCUAAGUUUAAAAAAAAAAUUAAAU